GGUUGGAAGAAGGUUCCUGUAACCCAGGAUAACCACCUGCCAGAAAACAUGGAGAAUGCUCUCAACCGGAGCCAGGGCUCCCAUGCUUCUCUGCGAGACAUCCAUUACAUCAACCCCACACAACUCAUGGCCAGAAUUGAGUCCUAUGAGGGAAGGGAAAAGAAAGGCAUAUCUAAUGUCAGGAGGACUUUCUGUUUGUCACCUUUGACCUCUUAUUUGUAACAUUACUGUGGAUACUAGAAUUAAAUGUGAAUGGAGGCAUUAAGAAUACGUUAGAGAAAGAGGUGGUGCAGUAUGACUACUACUUUUCAUAUUUUGAUACAUUUCUUUUGGCAGUUUUUCAAUUUAAAAUAUUAAUACUUGCAUACGCUGUGUACAGACUGUGCCAUUGGUGGGCAAUAGCGUUGACAACGGCAGUGACCAGUGCCUUUUUACUAGCAAAAGUGAUCCUUUCAAAGCUUUUCUCUCAAGGGGCUUUUGGCUAUGUGCUGCCCAUCAUUUCAUUCAUCCUUGCCUGGAUUGAGACGUGGUUCCUGGAUUUCAAAGUGUUACCUCAAGAAGCAGAAGAAAACAGACACCUGAUAGUUCAGGAUGCUUCAGAGAGGGAAGCACUUACACCUGGUGGUCUUUCUGAUGAUCAGUUUUAUUCCCCUCCUGAAUCUGAAGCAGGAUCUGACGAAGCUGAAGAAAAACAGGACAGUGAGAAACCACUUUUAGAACUAUGAGUACUACUUUUGUUAAAUGUGAAAAACUCUCACAGAAAGUCACCGGAGGCAAAAGGAGGCUAGAAAUGGAGCCUCCCUGUUGACAAUAAAAUGGUGAUGCUCACUGCUGACUUUAUUGAACAGCUAAUAAAGAUUUAUUUAUCGUAAUACCUCACAGACAUUGUACCAUAUCCAUGCACAUUUAGUCACCUGCCUGUGGCCAGUAAGGUAAUGUCAUGAUUCAUCCUCUCUUCAGUGAGACUGAGUCUGAUGUGUUAACCAUUAGGUGAGGAAAGUCUUGUGCUGUAUUCGUAAUCAGAAGACUUAAAUAUUGAAAUAAAACUUUUUUAGUAAGCAAAAUACCUUUUAAUUUCAAUUCACAGAAUGACAUUUUUUUGUUUUAUGUCUCAGAUUUAUUUUGUAUUUCUUUUUUCACAUCCUACAUUCCCUUUGUUUUUAAACUCAUGCACAUGUGCUCUUUGUACAGUUUUUAAAAGCAUAAUAAAAUGCAUCAUGUCAAAAA